AGGGAAAUAAUUUAACGGUAGAAUAUCAGUCUUCAAAAUUGAGCGUAUAGGUUCGAAUCCUAUUUUCCCUG
rnacentral:tRNA from 1 species